UCUAUUCUUUCUGCGAUUCUGUUUGCCUGAUUAUAUUCUCCUUCUCAAUCCCAUAAACGAGAGUGGAGGCAUAUACCAUGAAAGUAAAACCCUAAUCCCAUUCGUUUUAACAGCACAAAGAAACGUCUGUUGCGUCUUUUCUUCUCCCUUUUCUUCUUCUUUCGCUUUUGCAACAACAUACAAAGAUUAUUAACCUAUUUUUAUAUUUACCUUAGAUUCUUCUUUGUUUUCUUUUUAGGAACAUGCUAUGAAAAAAGAGGAGCUUCUUGAUUCGCAGAUCAAUGGGCGUGAAGUCUGUGAGGAUGAAAAAGUGAACAAAAUGUCUAUCUUCAUGCCUAAUAUCAUGGAGAAAGAUGCUAUCGAGGAUGUCGGGAAGGGGUUGAUUGGUAUAUUAGAAUACUCAAUUGUUGAUAACUGUGUAUGUUGAUGCCUAAUAUCAUGGAGAAAUAUACUUUUGAUGUCGUAUACGAGCGAGAUGUUGAUUAUUAAUUUUUCUAUACUUUUAGGACUGCAGGAAGGUGAUGGUAGUCUGCCUCAAGUGAGUGGCGUAUUGAUGGUACUGCCUUUACGUAUUACUUGAUAUGCAAUCAUCGAUUGUCUUGGAUACAAUAAAAUUGUUCUUUAGUUGGUAGGGUUUAGAUCAUGUGGAUGUGGCUCUUAAGAAACUUUUGCAUGGGGUAAAUGGUGUUCUCCGUCGUAAUACAGUCAUGGCAAUGUGUUUCUCUUUUUCUUAAUGUUAUAUGUGUAUUGCAUGGUUUGGAUUUAUGACAGGGAAACUGAAAAUUUGUGGGCUACCAGAAGAACAGUUCUGCGAGCAAGCAUUUGCUCGUUGUGCUAGGGAAAUCAUACGAAGCAAGGUGUGAGUGUGACGAGACUGAGCAUGGCCUUCUGUGGUACCACGAGAUGGGAGUAUAGACCACGUAGAAAUUAUGCGAGGAGUAAUUUCUAUGAACCAAAUGGUAAACGUGGUGAACAAAAGUGAGAGACAUAUGAUGGGGAAAGCGAAGGUGACAAGCGUGAUGACGAUGAAUAAGGAUCAAUAGGCGGAGAUUCGACACCAUAGUCUUCAAGAGAAUAAAUAAACAAAUGUCUUCUGGUGAUCACAUGAACAUGGUUCACGUUUCAAAUGAUGUCGUCUUUUCUGUUGAAAAAUGUGGCACAAACUAUCCCUUGGAUUAAAGGGCUGAAACUAAAGUAGUUACAUUAAUGGUGAUUUGUAGUUCAUUUUUUUCAAAUCUUA